UAAACUAUUAAAAAAUAAACCUACCUUAUAAAAUAUUUACUGGAGUAAAAAGUGACAACUAGCCCCCGGGUCCCCAUAAUGUUCAGAGCGCAUUUGUUUGUGAAAGCGCAUUGGCCGCCACAGAAUUGCCGUAACAGCAGCUUAUUUACUGGGCACUAGAGGGCAGAUGUUCCGCAGUGUUCCUACAGGUGUUGUUGUUGUCAUCCAGUGUUUGACCACCGCAGACGGUAAUUAGCGGCUCAGCCCUUCACGCUGAGCGCGAUAGCAUCAAUUGGUGACGAUGCGCCCUUAUCCAUUUUCCCGCCAUCAGCAGUCACGGUCCAUUUCCGCUGCACAAACGCCCGCGGAUGUUUUCCUGAUUAAAGCGGCAGAUAGAGCGCGUGUGGGCGGGAUGAGCCGAGUCAAGUGCAGCCUGUCACUGAGGAUGCGGGCCAACAUGCCUGUUCGAGUGUUUUUUCUCUGAGAUUUUUUGGCGAGGGGAAUGUCCUGCAUUGCUUAAGCCAUCUGCUGUCCACAAGCUGAACAAUAACACACACUCUGAGGACAUCGGACAGAUGUCUCUGUGGAUGAAGAAUACAUUUUAAAUGUCUUCGCUGUCAGCCACGUCCACUGUGAUCAGACGUCAAAGACUGAAGCCAUUGCGGCUGAUGACCUUCAAGACUAUCUAGCAGAGACUCCUCUCCAUCUGCAAAUGUUUGGCAAGCGGCAAAGGAGCGCUCGGAUCAGGAGACUUGGAGCAACUACAAUCAUUUCUGGGCUGUCUGGCAUUGAAUUUUCCUCCUUGAACGAAAGCCCUAUAAUGCCUUCCGUUCACCAGAAUUAAGCUUUUCCUACAAAAGCCAUCCCAUGUUAUCCAACAAUAAUGACACAACACACUCAUUUUUAGAGCAGAAAGGAAGGCAUAUGUAAAUACUUAGCUGGCAUGUUGGGGAUAUGACAUAGCAUUAUAGCAUUAGGUAAACUCUGAGCCUGGGUAAAGGGUUCUGCUGAUUUGAUGAGCCGAGAACAGAGAAAGUGACUGAGCCGCAGUUAUUUCUACUGAUUGCUUUGAUCUGAAACGUGUAAAUCAAUUCUGAAUGAUCCCAAAGCCCUAUGUGCUACUUUCAGCUUGUUGGGGUUUGAUAUCAUCUGCAUGGAUUUUCAAAGCUUCGCUCUAGCACUGAUCUAUGUUGCAGUGGAGGAAAUCAUUACCACCCAGAUUUAUUUAUUACAGUUGUUUCCUUAUAUUGUAAACUUAACAAACUUACCUUAUAU